AACGAACGCUGGCGGCAGGCUUAACACAUGCAAGUCGAACGCCCCGCAAGGGGAGUGGCAGACGGGUGAGUAACACGUGGGAACGUACCCUUUUCUACGGAAUAACCCAGGGAAACUUGGACUAAUACCGUAUGUGCCCUUCGGGGGAAAGAUUUAUCGGAAAAGGAUCGGCCCGCGUUGGAUUAGCUAGUGGGUGGGGUAAAGGCCUACCAAGGCGACGAUCCAUAGCUGGUCUGAGAGGAUGAUCAGCCACAUUGGGACUGAGACACGGCCCAAACUCCUCCGGGAGGCAGCAGUGGGGAAUAUUGGACAAUGGGCGCAAGCCUGAUCCAGCCAUGCCGCGUGAGUGAUGAAGGCCUUAGGGUUGUAAAGCUCUUUCACCGGAGAAGAUAAUGACGGUAUCCGGAGAAGAAGCCCCGGCUAACUUCGUGCCAGCCGCCGCAGUAA
rnacentral:rRNA from 1 species